AUGGCUGACCAACUGACUGAAGAGCAGAUUGCAGAGUUCAAAGAAGCUUUCUCACUAUUUGACAAGGUCAUGGAUGGGACAAUAACAACAAAGGAGCUGGGGACAGUGAUGAGGUCUCUGGGGCAGAAUCCCACAGAAGCAGAGCUGCAGGACAUGAUCAGAGAAGUAGAUGCAAAUGGUACUGGUACACUUUCUGACAAUGAUGGCAAGAAAAAUGAAAGACACAGACAAUGAAGAAGAAAUUAGAGAAGCAUUCUGUAUGUUUGAUAAGGAUGGCAAUGGCUAUAUUAGUGCAGCAGAUCUUCACCAUGUGAUGACAAACCUUGGAGAGAAGUUAACAGAUGAAGAGGUUGAUGAAAUGAUCAAGGAAGCAGACAGUGAUGGGGACGGUCAGGUAAACUAUAAAGAGUUUGUACAAAUGAUGACAGCGAAG
rnacentral:lncRNA from 1 species